AGAAGUAUGAUCAAGAAAAGCUGCUAACUUUUUCCUUUUAAUGGUUAAACUCCAUUUAUACUUCUU
rnacentral:tRNA from 1 species